rnacentral:rRNA from 1 species
GAUGAACGCUAGCUAUAGGCUUAACACAUGCAAGUCGAGGGGAAACGGCAUUAUGUGCUUGCACAUUUUGGACGUCGACCGGCGCACGGGUGAGUAUCGCGUAUCCAACCUGCCCUUUACUUGGGGAUACCCCGUUGAAAGACGGCCUAAUACCCGAUGUAAUUCAUUGAUGGCAUCAGAUAUGAAUAAAAGAUUUAUCGGUAAAGGAUGGGGAUGCGUCUGAUUAGCUUGUUGGUGAGGUAACGGCUCACCAAGGCGACGAUCAGUAGGGGUUCUGAGAGGAAGGUCCCCCACAUUGGAACUGAGACACGGUCCAAACUCCUACGGGAGGCAGCAGUGAGGAAUAUUGGUCAAUGGACGGAAGUCUGAACCAGCCAAGUAGCGUGCAGGAAGACGGCCCUAUGGGUUGUAAACUGCUUUUAUACGAGAAUAAUUUGAUGCACGUGUGCGUUAUUGCAUGUAUCGUAUGAAUAAGGACCGGCUAAUUCCGUGCCAGCAGCCGCGGUAAUACGGAAGGUCCAGGCGUUAUCCGGAUUUAUUGGGUUUAAAGGGAGUGUAGGCGGUUUGUUAAGCGUGUUGUGAAAUUUAGGUGCUCAACAUUUAACUUGCAGCGCGAACUGUCAGACUUGAGUACACGCAACGUAUGCGGAAUUCAUGGUGUAGCGGUGAAAUGCUUAGAUAUCAUGAAGAACUCCGAUUGCGAAGGCAGCAUACGGGAGUGUAACUGACGCUUAAGCUCGAAGGUGCGGGUAUCGAACAGG